UUAAUUGAAACCAAAAAGAGGUAUAUUACUGUUAAUAAUAAAAUUGAGUCUUAAUCUCCAAUUAAA
rnacentral:tRNA from 1 species